rnacentral:rRNA from 1 species
UACGGAAGGGGCAAGCGUUGUCCGGAAUUAUUGGGCGUAAAGGGCUCGUAGGCGGUCUGUUGCGUCGGGAGUGAAAACUUACAGCUUAACUGUGAGCGUGCUUUCGAUACGGGCAGACUUGAGGCAUUCAGGGGAGAACGGAAUUCCUGGUGUAGCGGUGAAAUGCGCAGAUAUCAGGAGGAACACCGAUGGCGAAGGCAGGUCUCUGGGCAUUAACUGACGCUGAGGAGCGAAAGCAUGGGGAGCGAACAGG